CAGGAAGCAAAGCUCAGAGCAAGUAGGAACUCGGGAUACCCUGUCACAAAUACAUGUGGUGAAGUCCAGAUAUCAAGUUUCCUUGGACAAUGAACAAAAAUCUGAAAGCUGAGUACAUGAGAGGGUGGCAUCAUCUGCAUUUCAGUGGCCUGCCUUCAUAUUCAGCACAUCAGAAAGAAUAUCACUACAGAACUGUCUACGCUGUCAGCAGUACAAGUUACAGAAUGAAUUACUACUGAAUCUCAAUUUAGGGAUCAGGAGAGGAUGUGCUGAGUAAGUGAAAACACAGAAGCAAAGCGACAUGCCAUGGCUUUGUGGAUAUGUGGAUACAAGCAAUUACAGCUUAAUAGAUGUGGGUAAGCUGGUGAACAGAUAGAGGUUCUGCACUUCUUCAUGGUUUGCCCAAAGAUCAACAUUCUAAAUAUACCUUAUCUAAGACAACAAAUAAUGAAAUUGUCAAGUGAACUUGAACAUCAGAAUAAAUUUGAGAAAUCUCCUUAUAUCAAAAAGAAGCUUCAGAAAAAAAAUAGCAAGACAAGUUGUAGUUAAGUGCUGAAGAAUGAAAGGAUUGCUUUCCAGCAUUUUUAUUCCAGCUUCAGCAUAUUUUAUUUUAUAUAUAUAUAAAUAUAUAUACACACAUAAUUACAUACAUAUAUACACACACACACAUAUAUCUAUGCAGUGUUUUUCCCUCAAGGAAUAAGCCAUCUUAUUUAUGUCAUAGCUGAGAGGUGUGAAUUUCCUUCGCGCUUUAUCCAGCUUCAUAGAUGAAUCCCUGUUGGCAGAUCACACUGCACAGAAGACUGGUGAGUGACAGAGGCCACUGAUUACUAAUGGCCACAUCAGGAGGAAUUGCACUGUGAGGGAAGAUACCCACUUCCUCCUCAUCCCUAAUUUUGGGGUCUUGUUUCUAGAGAGUCCAUUGGAAGGAUUCACAUGGGGGACAGAGAAAUAAAAUACUAUCCACGUUCAUAAAAAGGUGUUUUCCUAAGCAACCACACUUCCCUCCCCCUCUAAACUCAAGGAGUGAGAAUAAAGCCUCCUGACAGGCUAUUCUCUUACUGUGCCAUGUUUCAAAGCCUUAUAAGGAGAAGAAACUGUGGCAUAAUUAAUACAUUGGAUAGCUGAAGACAUUACUGAAUCGUUAAACUGCAGCAUUUAACUGCAGUUAAAGUAUUCUUGGCCCCUAGGUCUUUACCAUUGUAUAAUCAUGAUCAGCUGUUUUAGAUAAACUAUGGAGAAAGUAAGAUAAAUCUUCCCAAAAUUUACAGUGAAGAAUAAAAUUCAGCAUAUAGCUUUCCCCUGCUCAUGGAAUUGAAUCAAUCAAUACUGCAUUAUGCUAUUGCUGGAGUGCAUAGUAGCAAUCACUGUUUGACAGUAAGGGUAUUUUGCACAGCAGUGAAGGUUAUCUAUAUAAUUUGUUUUAAACCUUUGGGUUCCCUAUGUUAGUCCUUUGGGAGAACUGCAGGAAACCUUGCUCUGUACAUUUUCUGUUUGCUGAAAAUUGUAACAUAGUCAUCAGAAAAAGAAAAAGAGAGAAAGAGAGAAAGAGAGAAAGAGAGAAAGAGAGAAAGAAAGAAAGAAAGAAAGAAAGAAAGAAAGAAAGAAAGAAAGAAAGAAAGAAAGAAAGAAAGAAAGAAAGAAGGAAAGAAAGAAAGAAAGAAAGAAAGAAAGAAAGAAAGAAAGAAAGAAAGAAAGAAAGAAAAAGAAAAAAAAAUCAAAAGGAUAACAAAGCUUUGCUAAUAGGAAUGAUCCAUACACCCAGACAGAUGCGUUUUCCUGUGGACAGUGGAAAGAAUGCAGAUGUAAUUGGAACCCAUUGGAACCCAUUUUUGCCCAGGAGAUCUCAGAUGGAAGUCUGGAAGUCCUGACUGAAAAAAAUGAAGUGGAAUUCAGAGCAAUUUUUUGCCACUUCUUUCCAAUUCAGUUUUCAGCACGACUACAAAGGGACUUCUUGCUUCAGGCCAGGCUGGAUGAUUUGUGAAGCCACGGAAGUAAAAAUAAAGUAAAGCUGUCCUUCAAGAAACUGAAUAAACUGUUUUGGUUGAGUGUGUGGUUUUCUAAAUACAUGCAGAAAGAUGUAUACCCCAAACAUGUAUUUAGCAGAAUGGAUUUUGUUAAUGUCAAUAGCUAAAUACCAUAUUGGUUUGUUUUAUCAGCAUGCACAAUACUUACUUUUUAAAUGAUUCCAUCACUGUAUGUGGUUUAUGUAAAGCAAGUAAACUGAGAUUUCAUGUAAUUACAGUAAUUAAAAAGAGAGGUGGACAGGGCAGACUAUUUGUUAUACCAUGUAUGAUAAGAAGAUAGAGGCACCAUUCAAAGAGUUAUGACUUGUUAGUGAGUAGUAGACUCUUGAAAUUGUCAAGAAGUGUUGUUUGAAAAAAACAAAUGAAGAGAAGCAGAUAAAAUCAUCUAUUAUUAACUAAUGUAAGCAUAUGAAUUUCAGCGUGCAGCAUGCUUGCUACCGAUAGUCAUGGUGCAUUGUUACAGUGAAUUAAUAACAUUGUCACAAUGGAUAAUAUCACAUUUUCUGGCUAUACAAGUGAAAGGAAAACUAUCAGAAUUUCACAAUAACAGAGAAGCUUUGAAAUUAAAAUAAUAAUAAUAAAAGCCUACAAACUCACCACCAUUAAGUUACAUUCUUGAGUGGUGGGCAGUAUAACCUUGGCCUACUAUAGUAAAUGAAAGAGCACCAACCUGUUUGUAGGAGAUACGUGUUUUGCAUGCAUAUCUUAGUUGAUUUUAAUCUUUCUGAUUGAAUUUAGGGUGAAUAUUAAAAGCAAACUCAUAAUUUUUUGCACUUGAUAUUUCCAGUGGAAGGAGCACUGCCUAGUACAAUAUCUUCUAAUAAAAUAAAAUAAAAAUUCAUAAUUAUAAAUAAAAUAAAAAUUCAUAGUUGACUUCAGCUUCUCAACAGUGUCUAUGAAAUUUACUCCUAUUUGGUUUGUCUUUCUUCAUCACUGCCAAAAUAGAUCCUUUGUAUCUGUAUCUACAAUAAUGUACACCAUCUCCCUCAUAGGUACUGAACAUCCUAGACACCUCCAAAUCAAUCAUAAAUUAGUGAGGCAAAGUUAGUUAAUUUAAGUGAGUUUAAGCAAUGAUAACUUAAUGGAGGGACUUGUAAACCACAGCAGAAAUGUAAUGUUUAUGGAUUUUUUACAUAAAUGGAAGAAAAACAGGAUUUUUCAAUUUCUUCUGGGAAAAAAAAACAGCAACAACAACCAUGAAGUGAAAAUGAGAACAUGGGAAGGGAGCAGUGCAGUGCUGAUUUGUCCUCUCACAGCCACAGCACUUAUUUAGAUGCAUCAAGACUCACACGUAUUGCACAUUACAUGCGCUUCUGUCGCUUGCUGAGUAAAAUGCAGUGAUUGUCGAUAUUAGUAUUUCAACCUGUCUAAUGGCAAACCCCAAAAAAACCAAAACUCUGGAUGAAGGAAGAGUGUUAAACAAAAAAUGGUCAGAUUAGUAAUUUUUUUUUCAAGACAAAUAAUAUGGCACUCUGCUUAAUUUGCAAGGAAAUGAUGUCAGAUUUCAAACAAUACCAUUUGAAAAGAUAUUAAGUGCAGAAACAUGCUGACAAAUUCAAUGAAUAUCAAAGAAUGCCUCAUAAAGACAAAACAGUGGAACUGAAAACAAAGUCUAUCACCUCAACGCAAGCUUUUUUAAAAAGUUAAAUGGACUGUUGUAAAAGCUAGUGACAUGGUAACAAAUCUGAUGGCAAAAAAUCAAAACCAUUUACUGAUGGUGAGUUUAUUAAGCAGUGAAAGAAAAGC
ensembl:lncRNA